GGGGGCAAAAAACUUACGUGAAAAUUUGCAUUUUCAUGGAUAGAUAUUACCCCGAUAAUAUUUUGAUAAAAAAUAAUUUAUUUAUAUUUUUUAUAUAUUAAAAAGUAAUUUUAGAAACGGUUGCCCAUCUUCUUUGACAUUGAGUUUUCAGAUAAGUAGCUAAAAUCUAUCCAUCUUUUCCAUGAUACUUUUUAUACUUUCGGGUCCACUUUGCAUACUUAUCAUGUAUUAUCUCUUUGUAAUUGAAGCUCGAUGUUUUUAUACCAAACUAGAUUUUCAGUCUAUACAAAAUUGGAAGGGCUAAAGGAUACAAAGACAUGAUAAAUAAUC
rnacentral:lncRNA from 1 species